rnacentral:SRP_RNA from 1 species
GUCAGGCAUGGUGGCGGGUGUCUGUAAUCCCAGCUACUCAGGAGGCUGAGGCAGGAGAAUCGCUUGAACCUGGGAGGCUGAGGGUGCAGUGAGCUGAGAUUGCGCCAUUGCACUCCAGCCUGGGCAACAAGAGGAAAACUCUGUCUCAAAAAAUUAAUUAAUUAAUUGUGUUUUGCUGUUUUUCUUUGAGACGGAGUCUUGCUCUAUCGCCCAGGCUGGAGUGCAGUGGCACGAUCUCAGCUCACUGCAACCUCCGCCUCCCAGGUUCAAGCGAUUCGCCUGCCUCAG